UACGAAGGGGGCUAGCGUUGUUCGGAAUUACUGGGCGUAAAGCGCACGUAGGCGGAUUGUUAAGUGAGGGGUGAAAUCCCAGGGCUCAACCCUGGAACUGCCUUUCAUACUGGCAAUCUCGAGUCCGAGAGAGGUGAGUGGAAUUCCGAGUGUAGAGGUGAAAUUCGUAGAUAUUCGGAGGAACACCAGUGGCGAAGGCGGCUCACUGGCUCGGUACUGACGCUGAGGCGCGAAAGAGUGGGGAGCAAACAGG
rnacentral:rRNA from 1 species